rnacentral:rRNA from 1 species
UACGGAGGAUGCGAGCGUUAUCCGGAUUUAUUGGGUUUAAAGGGUGCGUAGGCGGACGCUUAAGUCAGCGGUAAAAUUGCGGGGCUCAACCUCGUCGAGCCGUUGAAACUGGGUGCCUUGAGUGGGCGAGAAGUACGCGGAAUGCGUGGUGUAGCGGUGAAAUGCAUAGAUAUCACGCAGGACUCCGAUUGCGAAGGCAGCGUACCGGCGCCCAACUGACGCUGAAGCACGAAGGCGUGGGUAUCGAACAGG